GAUGAACGCUGGCGGCGUGCCUAAUACAUGCAAGUCGAGCGAACGGACGAGAAGCUUGCUCCUCUGAUGUUAGCGGCGGACGGGUGAGUAACACGUGGAUAACCUACCUAUAAGACUGGGAUAACUUCGUGAAACCGGAGCUAAUACCGGAUGAUAUUUUGAACCGCAUGGUUCAAAAGUGAAAGACGGUCUUGCUGUCACUUAUAGAUGGAUCCGCGCUGCAUUAGCUAGUUGGUAAGGUAACGGCUUACCAAGGCAACGAUGCAUAGCCGACCUGAGAGGAUGAUCGGCCACACUGGAACUGAGACACGGUCCAGACUCCUACGGGAGGCAGCAGUAGGGAAUCUUCCGCAAUGGGCGAAAGCCUGACGGAGCAACGCCGCGUGAGUGAUGAAGGGCUUCGGAUCGUAAAACUCUGUUAUUAGGGAAGAACAUAUGUGUAAGUAACUGUGCACAUCUUGACGGUACCUAAUCAGAAAGCCACGGCUAACUACGUG
rnacentral:rRNA from 1 species